UUGAACGCUGGCGGCAUGCUUUACACAUGCAAGUCGAACGGCAGCGCGGGCUUCGGCCUGGCGGCGAGUGGCGAACGGGUGAGUAAUGCAUCGGAACGUGCCCAGUAGUGGGGGAUAGCCCGGCGAAAGCCGGAUUAAUACCGCAUACGACCUGAGGGUGAAAGCGGGGGACCGAAAGGCCUCGCGCUAUUGGAGCGGCCGAUGUCGGAUUAGCUAGUUGGUGGGGUAAAGGCUUACCAAGGCGACGAUCCGUAGCUGGUCUGAGAGGACGACCAGCCACACUGGGACUGAGACACGGCCCAGACUCCUACGGGAGGCAGCAGUGGGGAAUUUUGGACAAUGGGGGCAACCCUGACCCAGCCAUGCCGCGUGCGGGAAGAAGGCCUUCGGGUUGUAAACCGCUUUUGUUCGGGAAGAAAUCCUCUGGGCUAAUACCCCGGGGGGAUGACGGUACCGGAAGAAUAAGCACCGGCUAACUACGUG
rnacentral:rRNA from 1 species